rnacentral:lncRNA from 1 species
AUGCCCAAACCUCUCCGGCCGCGUCCGGCGGAGCGGCUGCGGGCGCGGCUGCGGCGGCUGCGGCGCGCGGCGCGGGCGCUGGUGCUGGAGAACGCGGCGCUCUGCGACGAGCUGGCGCGCCUCGAGGCCAAGUGGACGUUGGCCCGCGGCCAGCGGCGAUUCCUGCUCGGACGGCUGCUCGGACACCGCGCGGCGGCCGCAGAAACGGCCGGAGAAACGGCCGGAGAGGCGGUCAAGCGGCCGCGGAGAGCUCGGACGGCCGCGGGGAGGGGGAGGGGCGGAAGGGGUGGCUCAAGGGAUGACCAGUGGUCAGCGGGGGUGAAGGAUGACCAGUGGUCAGCGAAAAAUGACCAGUGGUCAGCAAAAAGUGACCAGUGGUCAGCGGGGCCCAAGGAUGACCAGUGGUCAGCAAAAGGUGACCAGUGGUCAGCAGGGCCAAAGGAUGACCAAUGGUCAGCAAAAGGUGACCAGUGGUCAGCGAAAGGUGACCAAUGGUCAACGGGGGCAAAGAAUGACCAGUGGUCAGCCAAAGGUGACCAGUGGUCAGCAGGGCCCAAAAAUGACCAGUGGUCAGCAAAAAAUGACCAGUGGUCAGCAGGGCCCAAAGAUGACCAGUGGUCAGCAAAAGAUGACCAGUGGUCAGCUGGAGGAAGAGCCCGGCCGAAGGAUGACCAAUGGUCAGCAAAAGGUGACCAGUGGUCAGCGACAGUCAAGGAUGAGCAGUGGUCAGCGGGGUCAAAAGAUGACCAGUGGUCAGUGAAGGUGAAGGAGGAGCCGUGGUCAGCGGGACCGAAGGAUGACCAGUGGUCAGCUGGAGGAAGAGCCCAGCCAAAGGAUGACCAGUGGUCAGCAACGGUCAAGGAUGAGCAGUGGUCAUCGGGGUCAAAAGAUGACCAGUGGUCAGCUGGAGGAAGAGCCGGACCCAAGGAUGACCAGUGGUCAGUGAAGGUGAAGGACGAGCCGUGGUCAGCCAAGGAUGACCAGUGGUCAGCGGGGCCGAAGGAUGACCAGUGGUCAGCUGGAGGAGGAGAUGGGGUGAAGAAUGACCAGUGGUCAGCGGGGCCGAAGGAUGACCAGUGGUCAGUGAAGGUCAAGGACGAGCCGUGGUCAGCGGGGCCGAAGGAUGACCAGUGGUCAGCGAAAGAUGACCAGUGGUCAGUGAAGGUGAAGGAGGAACAGUGGUCAGCGGGGUCAAAAGAUGACCAGUGGUCAGCGGGGCCAAAGGAUGACCAGUGGUCAGUGAAGGUGAAGGAGGAGCAGUGGUCAGCGGGGCCAAAGGAUGACCAGUGGUCAGUGAAGGUGAAGGAGGAGCCGUGGUCAGCCAAGGAUGACCAGUGGUCAGCGGGGCCCAAGGAUGACCAGUGGUCAGCGGGGCUGCAAGAUGACCAGUGGUCAGCUGAAGGACGGCCCGGCCGGAGCGAUGACCAGUGGUCAGCUGGAGGAAGGCCCGGCCGGAGCGAUGACCAGUGGUCAGCUGGAGGACGGCCUGGCCGGAGCGAUGACCAGUGGUCAGCUGGAGGACGGCCUGGCCGGAGCGAUGACCAGUGGUCAGCUGGAGGACGGCCCGGCCGGAGCGAUGACCAGUGGUCAGCGGGCUCCGGAGAUGACCGGUGGUCAAGCGGCCGAGCGGCGGCCGGAGAUGACCGCAGGCCCGAGGGAGGCGGCGCUGACCGCUCGGCCGCCGGCCGGCCGGAGGAGGAGGAGGAGGAGGAUGACCACGAUGACCACGAUGACCACGAUGACCACGAGGAGGACGAUGAUGACGAUGAGGAGGACGAAGGCUCCGCUCCGGCCUUUGGCUACUCCGGCCUCUUCCUGGCCAGUCCGGCCGGCUCGGACGACUGA